rnacentral:misc_RNA from 1 species
UACGGAGGGUGCAAGCGUUGUUCGGAAUUACUGGGCGUAAAGGGCGCGUAGGCGGCCUGUUAAGUCUGAUGUGAAAGCCCUGGGCUCAACCCAGGAAGUGCAUUGGAUACUGGCAGGCUAGAGUAUGAGAGGGGAGAAUGGAAUUCCUGGUGUAGCGGUGAAAUGCGUAGAUAUCAGGAGGAACACCGGUGGCGAAGGCGGUUCUCUGGAUCAUUACUGACGCUGAGGCGCGAAAGCGUGGGGAGCAAACAGG